GUUUGAUCAUGGCUCAGAUUGAACGCUGGCGGAAUGCUUUACACAUGCAAGUCGAACGGCAGCACGGAGCUUGCUCUGGUGGCGAGUGGCGAACGGGUGAGUAAUAUAUCGGAACGUACCCUGGAGUGGGGGAUAACGUAGCGAAAGCUACGCUAAUACCGCAUACGAUCUAAGGAUGAAAGUGGGGGAUCGCAAGACCUCAUGCUCCUGGAGCGGCCGAUAUCUGAUUAGCUAGUUGGUAGGGUAAAAGCCUACCAAGGCAUCGAUCAGUAGCUGGUCUGAGAGGACGACCAGCCACACUGGAACUGAGACACGGUCCAGACUCCUACGGGAGGCAGCAGUGGGGGAUUUUGGACAAUGGGGGCAACCCUGAUCCAGCAAUGCCGCGUGAGUGAAGAAGGCCUUCGGGUUGUAAAGCUCUUUUGUCAGGGGAGAAACGGUGCGAGCUAAUAUCUCGUGCUAAUGACGGUACCUGAAGAAUAAGCACCGGCUAACUACGUGCCAGCAGCCGCGGUAAUACGUAGGGUGCAAGCGUUAAUCGGAAUUACUGGGCGUAAAGCGUGCGCAGGCGGUUUUGUAAGACUGUCGUGAAAUCCCCGGGCUCAACCUGGGAAUGGCGAUGGUGACUGCAAGGCUAGAGUUUGGCAGAGGGGGGUAGAAUUCCACGUGUAGCAGUGAAAUGCGUAGAUAUGUGGAGGAACACCGAUGGCGAAGGCAGCCCCCUGGGUCAAAACUGACGCUCAUGCACGAAAGCGUGGGGGAGCAAACAGGAUUAGAUACCCUGG
rnacentral:rRNA from 1 species